rnacentral:misc_RNA from 1 species
GGACUGUGAGCCUUCUUUUAUCACCCACACGCAUGCCAGCAAGACCAAGGUUCCAUCCCUCUAUGACGUCUUUAUCACCUAGACGAAAUUUAUAUGGAGAUUUUCCCAUAUUUGUGUAAAAUAUCUGCCCAUUCUCCUUUAGCUUGCCGGUGUAAUGAACUUUGAUCUUCUUUCCCGGAGCGGCCAAUUUUCCACCAGGUUCACCCACAGCGAGCUCUUCAAUGGUCAACCCAUUAGACAAGGUCCUUAUUACAGUAGACU